rnacentral:lncRNA from 1 species
CCACGACAAAUUCUGAUGGUGCCUCAGCUUCUGCUGGAGCUGGCGUUCUCGUACAGAACGCACAUAAUUAAGGAAUCGAAAGGCAAUGUCACCUGUUCCACCAGCAACAUCCACAAGGAGCGUUCCUGGGGAAGGAUUCAUUUUGUGCACGAGGAUGUCCUUCCACACCCGAUGGAUCCCCAGGGACAUCGAGUCGUUCAUUACAUCGUACUUCUCGGCCACGUUUUCAAAGACCUGGUAAAUUUUCUCCCUCCGCUCCGCCUCCGACACGUUCUGGAAGCCGAAGUGUGUCUCUGGUCCGGCGGCCCGGCCCCGUGCGGUACCGAGCAGCGCCCACAGAGCCCCGCCGCAGCGGGAGAGCAGCGCGCGGCCCGGGCACAGCCCCGCCGCCAUCUUGGAGGGCGCGUCCGCCGCUCCGCCACCGCGCGGGGUCUCCCCGGCGCUCAGCCCGCGCGGGCCGCCCGGCAGCCCCGGCCCCGGCCCCGCUCCUUCCGCUGCAGCGUACCGGCCGAGCGGCCCCGCGCCGUGCUGAGGGAGGGCUCCGGCUCACUCACUCCAACUGAGCCGUUUGCCAAAGC